rnacentral:rRNA from 1 species
UACGUAGGUGGCAAGCGUUAUCCGGAAUUAUUGGGCGUAAAGCGCGCGUAGGCGGUUUCUUAAGUCUGAUGUGAAAGCCUUCGGCUUAACCGGAGUAGUGCAUUGGAAACUGGGAGACUUGAGUGCAGAAGAGGAGAGUGGAACUCCAUGUGUAGCGGUGAAAUGCGUAGAUAUAUGGAAGAACACCAGUGGCGAAAGCGGCUCUCUGGUCUGUAACUGACGCUGAGGUUCGAAAGCGUGGGUAGCAAACAGG